UACGAAGGGUGCAGACGUUGCUCGGAAUUAUUGGGCGUAAAGCGCACGUAGGCGGCAUUGCAAGUCGGAUGUGAAAUCCCUCGGCUCAACCAAGGAAGUGCAUCCGAAACUGCAGUGCUUGAGUACUUAAGAGGAUCGCGGAAUUCCCGGUGUAGAGGUGAAAUUCGUAGAUAUCGGGAGGAACACCAGUGGCGAAGGCGGCGAUCUGGGAAGAUACUGACGCUGAGGUGCGAAAGCGUGGGGAGCAAACGGG
rnacentral:rRNA from 1 species